rnacentral:rRNA from 1 species
ACAUGCAAGUCGAGGGGCAGCAUAAUGGAUAGCAAUAUCUAUGGUGGCGACCGGCGCACGGGUGCGUAACGCGUAUGCAACCUACCUUUAACAGGGGGAUAACACUGAGAAAUUGGUACUAAUACCCCAUAAUAUCAUAGAAGGCAUCUUUUAUGGUUGAAAAUUCCGAUGGUUAGAGAUGGGCAUGCGUUGUAUUAGCUAGUUGGUGGGGUAACGGCUCACCAAGGCGACGAUACAUAGGGGGACUGAGAGGUUAACCCCCCACACUGGUACUGAGACACGGACCAGACUCCUACGGGAGGCAGCAGUGAGGAAUAUUGGUCAAUGGACGCAAGUCUGAACCAGCCAUGCCGCGUGCAGGAUGACGGCUCUAUGAGUUGUAAACUGCUUUUGUACGAGGGUAAACGCAGAUACGUGUAUCUGUCUGAAAGUAUCGUACGAAUAAGGAUCGGCUAACUCCGUGCCAGCAGCCGCGGUAAUACGGAGGAUUCAAGCGUUAUCCGGAUUUAUUGGGUUUAAAGGGUGCGUAGGCGGUUUGAUAAGUUAGAGGUGAAAUUUCGGGGCUCAACCCUGAACGUGCCUCUAAUACUGUUGAGCUAGAGAGUAGUUGCGGUAGGCGGAAUGUAUGGUGUAGCGGUGAAAUGCUUAGAGAUCAUACAGAACACCGAUUGCGAAGGCAGCUUACCAAACUAUAUCUGACGUUGAGGCACGAAAGCGUGGGGAGCAAACAGGAUUAGAUACCCUGGUAGUCCACGCAGUAAACGAUGAUAACUCGUUGUCGGCGAUACACAGUCGGUGACUAAGCGAAAGCGAUAAGUUAUCCACCUGGGGAGUACGUUCGCAAGAAUGAAACUCAAAGGAAUUGACGGGGGCCCGCACAAGCGGAGGAACAUGUGGUUUAAUUCGAUGAUACGCGAGGAACCUUAC